UACGUAGGGUGCGAGCGUUGUCCGGAAUUAUUGGGCGUAAAGAGCUUGUAGGCGGUUUGUCGCGUCUGCCGUGAAAAUUCGAGGCUCAACCUCGAACUUGCGGUGGGUACGGGCAGACUGGAGUGUGGUAGGGGAGACUGGAAUUCCUGGUGUAGCGGUGAAAUGCGCAGAUAUCAGGAGGAACACCGAUGGCGAAGGCAGGUCUCUGGGCCACUACUGACGCUGAGAAGCGAAAGCAUGGGGAGCGAACAGG
rnacentral:rRNA from 1 species